CCCUUAGACGUUCUGGGCCGCACGCGCGCUACACUGACCAGUGCAACAAGCAUCCGUCCUUGGCCGACAGGCUCGGGCAAUCUUUGAACGCUGGUCGUGAUGGGGAUAGACUUUUGCAAUUUUUGGUCUUCAACGAGGAAUUCCUAGUAAACGCAAGUCAUCAACUUGCAUUGAUUACGUCCCUGCCCUUUGUACACACCGCCCGUCGCACCUACCGAUUGAAUGAUCCGGUGAAGCCUCCGGAUUGGCGCGCACCUCGGUGCCGCCGAGAAGUUGGCUAAACCUUACCAUUUAGAGGAAGGUGAAGUCGUAACA
rnacentral:rRNA from 1 species